rnacentral:rRNA from 1 species
CUUGGUCAUUUAGAGGAAGUAAAAGCAUGUAACAAGGUUUCCGUAGGUGAACCUGCGGAAGGAUCAUUAGUGAUUAUGAACGGUUGUCUUCUGUGCUGGCUGCGGCAUGUGCACGGAGGUGACUUUCAUCCAACACCCUUGUGAACCUUUGGCCUCUUGCUGGCUUCGGCUGGCUGAGGAUUUACACAAACUCGCAUGUAUUGAGGAACCAUUAUGUGCGCAAGCACUAAUAUACAACUUUCAACAACGGAUCUCUUGGCUCUCGCAUCGAUGAAGAACGCAGCGAAAUGCGAUAAGUAAUGUGAAUUGCAGAAUUCAGUGAAUCAUCGAAUCUUUGAACGCAUCUUGCGCUCCUUGGUAUUCCGAGGAGCAUGCCUGUUUGAGUGUCAUUUAAAACUUCUCAACUGCUCCAGAUUUGUUUCUGGAUGUGGCUUGGAAAUGGAGGGAAGUGCAGGCUUCUGCUGAAGUCUGCUCCUCUGAAAUGUAUUAGCGGUGUCUGGGCAAGACUACCACAGGUGUGAUAACUAUCAAUGCCUUGGUGCGUGCUGCUACUGCUUUCGAACCAUUCAAUGACCAACUUGACCUCAAAUCAGGUAGGAUUACCCGCUGAACUUAAGCAUAUCAAUAAGCGGAGGA